ACCUUAAACGAAACUGAGCAGAUCUGAGAAAAUGAAAGAUAAGACAGAGAGAGGGAAGAAAAUCAGGAAACCCUAAACCCUCAGAACGAAGCCUCAGAUCUAUGACAAAGAAGAAACGCUCCCCGGGCCGCAUAAUGGCAUUGGCUCUGUGAUCGGAACCUUCGUUGGAGAUCAGAGACAUGAGCAUGAAGAAAGGCGACGAGGCAAGAAAAGCUCUUUAACUCCUCGAUGGCGGCCAUGGUUCAAGAACUUGCAGUUGAAAUCGGGCAGUAUUUAACACCGACACCAGAGAUCUGAUGGGGCAAGUUACACUCCAUGGCAGCUUGCUCAAGAUGUGAUGUGGAUUGAUAGAGGCACUGACAGCGGGUCUUCCAUAUCUUUUAAGGAUAUCUGAAACCAGAAGCUAGCAGGACUUCGCCUCAAACUUCCUUUUGUUUUGUUUUUUUGACAAAUUUGAUCUCAUUUCAAUCAAAAGAAGUCUGUAAUAUAAUUUCUUUUUUUUUUGGGGUAAAAAUAAAUUCUUUUAUUUUAGUGCCGCGGAUUGUAAUUAGGCUGCAUUGUAAUUAUUCUUUGUAUGCAUGGUUUUCUUGUUCUUCCGUGGGCCGCUCGGAAAUAAAAUAGGCCCUAAGAUUUGCUGGGCUCGUUGAUAUU